GACGAACGCUGGCGGCGUGCUUAACACAUGCAAGUCGAACGGAAAGGCCCUGCUUUUGUGGGGGGCUCGAGUGGCAAACGGGUGAGUAACACGUGAGUAACCUGCCCUUGACUUUGGGAUAACUUCAGGAAACUGGGGCUAAUACCGGAUAGGAGCUCCUGCUGCAUGGUGGGGGUUGGAAAGUUUCGGCGGUUGGGGAUGGACUCGCGGCUUAUCAGCUUGUUGGUGGGGUAGUGGCUUACCAAGGCUUUGACGGGUAGCCGGCCUGAGAGGGUGACCGGCCACAUUGGGACUGAGAUACGGCCCAGACUCCUACGGGAGGCAGCAGUGGGGAAUAUUGCACAAUGGGCGGAAGCCUGAUGCAGCAACGCCGCGUGCGGGAUGACGGCCUUCGGGUUGUAAACCGCUUUCGCCUGUGACGAAGCGUGAGUGACGGUAAUGGGUAAAGAAGCACCGGCUAACUACGUG
rnacentral:rRNA from 1 species